rnacentral:rRNA from 1 species
AUUGAACGCUGGCGGCAGGCCUAACACAUGCAAGUCGAGCGGAUGAAGGGAGCUUGCUCCUGGAUUCAGCGGCGGACGGGUGAGUAAUGCCUAGGAAUCUGCCUGGUAGUGGGGGAUAACGUCCGGAAACGGGCGCUAAUACCGCAUACGUCCUGAGGGAGAAAGUGGGGGAUCUUCGGACCUCACGCUAUCAGAUGAGCCUAGGUCGGAUUGGCUAGUUGGUGGGGUAAAGGCCUACCAAGGCGACGAUCCGUAACUGGUCUGAGGGGAUGAUCAGUCACACUGGAACUGAGACACGGUCCAGACUCCUACGGGAGGGAGCAGUGGGGAAUAUUGGACAAUGGGCGAAAGCCUGAUCCAGCCAUGCCGCUUGUGUGAAGAAGGUCUUCGGAUUGUAAAGCACUUUAAGUUGGGAGGAAGGGCAGUAAGUUAAUACCUUGCUGUUUUGACGUUACCAACAGAAUAAGCACCGGCUAACUUCGUG